GGCCGUGAGCGCGAAUUAUAUAAUUUUUCGUUUUGCGUUUAUAAUUAUUAUUAAUGGGGUUUUUUUUUGUAUGUCUACAGGUGAAUAGUUGUGAUCGUAUAGUUUAUUAUCAACGCAAGAAGUACGGAUAAUAAACAGCAAUAUUACGGCGACAUACAAUCAUUACCAACAACAGCUACGUCACAACAACAACAACAACAUAAACGGGUUUGGCAGACUACAAAUAAUAUACGAAUGCGGCAUGCCGAGGAGAGACAGCCAUCGAUGAAGUACUUUUUACGUCAACAACGUUUAAUGGAUAACACUCCGAUAUUGUCCUGUCACAGCAGUAGUGAGUAUCUGAAUCGUACUGCUGUCGCGGGACAUUUUCGGAGCUGUCGUCCGCGCGAGCAACAUUCAUCUCUCAAUGAUGCAUACCAACGACAACGAACAACAUAAAUCGCAACAACGGAAUUCAGUAGAAGAAAUAAGAAUCACAUUUAGUAAUAUUCGUAAGAACGAGUGGAAUUUUUUUUUAAUUGAAUUGUUCAUUUUUUUUUUAUCGAAAUCGUCGAGAAACAAACAUAUGGAUUAAAAUAUGGUUUUACUGUGCCUACUCAAUAUACAAACAUAUUUUCGUUUACAAAUUGAUACGUUUAAGUUUGUGUAAGAUACUAUACAAUAUUUUUGGGAACACCUAGUCUCAAUGUUAAUCGCUCGAGCAUUCAUUGACUAUUUUGGGCUUCCAAGUUUUUAAAUAUUAAAGCUUAUACUACUAUU